AGUAUAUUACUAUACAUUUGACUUCCAAUCAAAAGAAUAUUAGAUACUA
rnacentral:tRNA from 1 species